GGACGGGUGAGUAAUGCCUAGGAAAUUGCCCUGAUGUGGGGGAUAACCAUUGGAAACGAUGGCUAAUACCGCAUGAUGCCUACGGGCCAAAGAGGGGGACCUUCGGGCCUCUCGCGUCAGGAUAUGCCUAGGUGGGAUUAGCUAGUUGGUGAGGUAAGGGCUCACCAAGGCGACGAUCCCUAGCUGGUCUGAGAGGAUGAUCAGCCACACUGGAACUGAGACACGGUCCAGACUCCUACGGGAGGCAGCAGUGGGGAAUAUUGCACAAUGGGCGCAAGCCUGAUGCAGCCAUGCCGCGUGUGUGAAGAAGGCCUUCGGGUUGUAAAGCACUUUCAGUCGUGAGGAAGGUAGUGUAGUUAAUAGCUGCAUUAUUUGACGUUAGCGACAGAAGAAGCACCGGCUAACUCCGUGCCAGCAGCCGCGGUAAUACGGAGGGUGCGAGCGUUAAUCGGAAUUACUGGGCGUAAAGCGCAUGCAGGUGGUUUGUUAAGUCAGAUGUGAAAGCCCGGGGCUCAACCUCGGAAUUGCAUUUGAAACUGGCAGACUAGAGUACUGUAGAGGGGGGUAGAAUUUCAGGUGUAGCGGUGAAAUGCGUAGAGAUCUGAAGGAAUACCGGUGGCGAAGGCGGCCCCCUGGACAGAUACUGACACUCAGAUGCGAAAGCGUGGGGAGCAAACAGGAUUAGAUACCCUGGUAGUCCACGCCGUAAACGAUGUCUACUUGGAGGUUGUGGCCUUGAGCCGUGGCUUUCGGAGCUAACGCGUUAAGUAGACCGCCUGGGGAGUACGGUCGCAAGAUUAAAACUCAAAUGAAUUGACGGGGGCCCGCACAAGCGGUGGAGCAUGUGGUUUAAUUCGAUGCAACGCGAAGAACCUUACCUACUCUUGACAUCCAGAGAACUUUCCAGAGAUGGAUUGGUGCCUUCGGGAACUCUGAGACAGGUGCUGCAUGGCUGUCGUCAGCUCGUGUUGUGAAAUGUUGGGUUAAGUCCCGCAACGAGCGCAACCCUUAUCCUUGUUUGCCAGCGAGUAAUGUCGGGAACUCCAGGGAGACUGCCGGUGAUAAACCGGAGGAAGGUGGGGACGACGUCAAGUCAUCAUGGCCCUUACGAGUAGGGCUACACACGUGCUACAAUGGCGCAUACAGAGGGCGGCCAACUUGCGAAAGUGAGCGAAUCCCAAAAAGUGCGUCGUAGUCCGGAUUGGAGUCUGCAACUCGACUCCAUGAAGUCGGAAUCGCUAGUAAUCGUGGAUCAGAAUGCCACGGUGAAUACGUUCCCGGGCCUUGUACACACCGCCCGUCACACCAUGGGAGUGGGCUGCAAAAGAAGUAGGUAGUUUAACCUUCGGGGGGACGCUUACCACUUUGUGGUUCAUGACUGGGGUGAAGUCGUAACAAGGUAGCGCUAGGGGAACCUGGCGCUGGAUCACCUCCUUAAACGAUGAU
rnacentral:rRNA from 1 species